UUUUCAAAAAAUACUUUUCGUCAGUCGUUGACGUUUCGCGAAAAUAUUGUUUUUGACACUUUUUAUGAUAUACUUUUUGUUAUGUGUUUUUUCUUUAAACCUAAGAUUGGCCGAUUGCGAUAAAAACCAUAGAAAGAAGAAUAAUAACCAUAACCUCAAAGUCGAAGUUUUAGUUCAAAAUGUCAUUUAGUUGUUCAAAUGUCAUUGUCAUUUACUUUGUUUGGAUUACACACAUCAUGCCGAAAAUCGUAAGUAUUUCAUAAAAUGUUUCGUUGGUCGUGUCUCUGUCUUCGUUUAGUCUUUUGUUUGAUGAUACCUAUAUCAUUUUGUUAACAGCCGAAUCUCCGUGCAUUUGGUAAACAUUGUCACAAUUGUGGAAAGUGGAUGGAGCGAAGGGCUCUUCGUAAAGAUGUGACAUGCAAUUUUUGUAAUGGCAAAAUAUUUGCAAGAGAUGGCAAACAAAAGCAAAUGUGCAGUCGAUGUGUGGAAUGCGACAACAUUAUACUCGGUCGAUAACGAAGAGUUGAAUGUUAGAACUUAUGAAAAUAUUAUUUACAACUCAUUUCGAGAAGCUGCUCAAGCAAGAGGGCUCCUUUUUGACGAUCAAGAAUGGGAAAGAUGUUUGAAUGAAGCAAUUGAUUUUAAACUUCCUCGGCAAUUAUUUCGAGUUCGAAGAUUCGAUGAUGUAAAAAUUCAAAUUAUCAAUACCACUGAACAAGGCUUGAAAGGUGAUUAAUAUUUAUCGAAAAAUGUUAUAUAUAGAGAAAUUUUGUGAUAAUCAACCUCUGAUGUAUAAUAGAGAAUAUUUUUUUAUAAGUACCUUUGCCAAAUUCUCGGAUAAGUACUCAUUGUAAAAUUACAAUUUACAUACUUCCUAAUAUUAUUCUUGAUUUAGCCAAUUUGGAUAAAGAACCACAAUUUCAUAUUUUAUUUUUAAAAUUAGUAAGUACUUAUCUACCUGUCACCUGGUCACUCACAAAACACCACAGGGAAAAGCUUGAACGCUGUCAAAGAGCCAUGGAAAGGAGUAUGACCGGCAUAAAGAAACAAGACAGAGUAAGAAGCAGCACGAUACGACAAAAAACCAAAAUAGUGGAUAUACUAACACGCAUUGACCAACAGAAGUGGAGGUGGACUGGCCACAUGAUGAGAGACCCGCAAAACAAAUGGAGUACAGUUGUCUCCGAUUGGUACCCCAGAGAUGGCAAACGCAACAGAGGACGUCAACAAAUGCGAUGGGAAGACGACUUGAGACUCACGGCAGGAAAUAAGUGGCGAAGAGUGGCAAGGGACAGAACCCAAUGGAAGAAGUUAGAGGCCUAUGCCAAGAGGCACACUGAACUACGAGACAUAUUGUAGUGUAAAUAAUAUUUUAUGUAUGUUUUUGUAACUAUGUUUUGGUUCAGAAUAAAAGGCUUAUUAUUAU